rnacentral:rRNA from 1 species
AGUGAACGCUGGCGGUAGGCCUAACACAUGCAAGUCGAACGGCAGCACAGUAAGAGCUUGCUCUUACGGGUGGCGAGUGGCGGACGGGUGAGGAAUACAUCGGAAUCUACUUUUUCGUGGGGGAUCACGUAGGGAAACUUACGCUAAUACCGCAUACGACCUACGGGUGAAAGCAGGGGAUCUUCGGAUCUUGCGCGAUUGAAUGAGCCGAUGUCGGAUUAGCUAGUUGGCGGGGUAAAGGCCCACCAAGGCGACGAUCCGUAGCUGGUCUGAGAGGAUGAUCGGCCACACUGGAGCUGAGACACGGACCAGACUCCUACGGGAGGCAGCAGUGUGGAAUAUUAGACAGUGGGCGCGAGCCUUAUCCAGCCAUACCGCGUGGGUGAAGGAGGCCCUCGGGUUGUAAAGCCCUUUUGUUGGGAAAGAAAAGCAGCAGGUUAAUACCCCGCUGUUCUGACGGUACCCAAAGAAUAAGCACCGGCUAACUUCGUG